rnacentral:lncRNA from 1 species
UGUUUCUUUAACAGUGCUUUGCUGACAUCUACUUGGUGAAUAUAAUUUACAUCAAUUCAACGUUGUCAGGGACAAAAAUUGUUAUGGCUGGUUGGUUUACAUCCAAGAAUAUGAAGUCACCAGAUUUCAAAAAGUGAAAUUUUUCAAUUAGAUAAAUGAAUCUGCUAAAAAAAUUAAUAAUUAAUUAUAUAAUUGAAUUAGGAUGCACUGAAAACGAAUAUCCUUAUUUGAAAUACACCGGGAAACUAUUCAGCUGGAAUAUUCAGCAGGAUAUUCAAUGCCUGAGUGAGAGUUCUUUAUAAACACAUUGGUCACAAUACCUUCUCCAGGUUCUGGAGAUCUUAAGAUACAUUCCGGGGGUUGGUAAUUAUUCCUGGAGAGUCAUAUCUGGCUUGCCACCUGGUUUUGUAAAUAAAAUUUUAUUGGAACACAGCCACACCCAUUCACUUCAAUUAUAAUAGUGGAUCCCUUUCUCAUUACAGUUUUUGCUUCCCGUAAUUUUAAUGCUCUGUUAGAUGCACAGACAUUUGGAAUUGCUGUGUCUUCUUGGAAAAUUGACCUGUUUAUCAACGUUUCAUACUCCUCUUACCACUGAUCAUUUUCCUUGCUCUGAAUUAUGAUUUGUCUGAAAUUUAUAUAUAGCUACUUCUGUUUUCUUUAGAUUAGUAUAAGCUAAUACUAUAUCUUUCUGAACUCCUUUAAGUUUAACCUGAGUUUUUAAAUUUAAAGAGGAUUUUUUUUU